GUCUUGGUAGAUCAAUAGGCAGAUCAUCCCAACUAGGAAGGCGGAGGUUCGAAUCCUCCCCGGGGCA